rnacentral:rRNA from 1 species
CAACCUGCCUCAAAGACCGGGAUAACAUUCCGAAAGGGGUGCUAAUACCGGAUGUGGCCACCCUGCUGCAUGACGGGGUGAUUAAAUCGAUGCUAGCAAUAGUAUCGGCUUUGAGAGGGGCUUGCGGCCUAUCAGCUAGAUGGUGGGGUAACGGCCUACCAUGGCGACGACGGGUAGCUGGUCUGAGAGGACGGCCAGCCGGACUGGGACUGAGAUACGGCCCAG